rnacentral:miRNA from 1 species
UAAAGCCUGGAAAUCUGCAGCU